AUUGAACGCUGGCGGCAGGCCUAACACAUGCAAGUCGAGCGGAUGAGUGGAGCUUGCUCCAUGAUUCAGCGGCGGACGGGUGAGUAAUGCCUAGGAAUCGGGCUGGUAGUGGGGGACAACGUUUCUAAAGGAACGCUAAUACAGCAUACGUCCUACGGGAGAAAGCAGGGGAACUUCGGGCCUUGCGCUCUAAGAUGAGCCUAGGUCGGAUUAGCUAGUAGGUGCGGUAAUGGCUGACCUAGGCGACGAUCCGUAACUGGUCUGAGAGGAUGAUCAGUCACACUGGAACUGAGACACGGUCCAGACUCCUACGGGAGGCAGCAGUGGGGAAUAUUGGACAAUGGGCGAAAGCCUGAUCCAGCCAUGCCGCGUGUGUGAAGAAGGUCUUCGGAUUGUAAAGCACUUUAAGUUGGGAGGAAGGGCAGUAAGUUAAUACCUUGCUGUUUUGACGUUACCAACAGAAUAAGCACCGGCUAACUUCGUGCCAGCCGCCGCCGUAAGAC
rnacentral:rRNA from 1 species